rnacentral:rRNA from 1 species
CCUACGGGGGGCUGCAGUCGAGAAUUUUUCUCAAUGGGGGAAACCCUGAAGGAGCGACGCCGCGUGGAGGAUGAAGGUCUUCGGAUUGUAAACUCCUGUCAUUUGGGAACAAAACUUCCGUUUAACUAGCGGGAGCUUGAUAGUACUAGAAGAGGAAGAGACGGCUAACUCUGUGCCAGCAGCCGCGGUAAUACAGAGGUCUCAACCGUUGUUCGGAUUCAUUGGGCGUAAAGGGUGCGUAGGCGGUCGUGUAAGUCGGAUGUGAAAUCCCGGGG